AGAGCUAUCCAUGAUCUCUUAGUGACUGCUCUACCCACUCUCCUCUGUUUACAAGCAAAUAACUGGAGCUCCCAGUGGGGAAAAAAUUUGCUAAUGUCUCACAGCUGGUUAAUGAAAGCACUCUUUUCUGGCCCAGCAAUCUUUCCACUUAUCACACAACAGCUGGGUGUUGCUUGUUGACAACUUACCCAAGAGGAGGUGAAAGGUUCUAGAAGGAAGAAUGCAGUACGGUCUGAAAACCCUUGCUCCACUGUUUGGCGACUCUGAUUUCCUGUUUUCAAGGAAAUCAUGCUACUUCAGCUAUCCCAUGAAUCCUGUGGCUUGGAAAACUUCUUCUCAUCAUAAUUAUCAUGCCUCAAAUGGAAGAAACCAUAAGAGAAUAUACGGACUGGCAGUUUUCAAAUUGUGUUCCAGGGAUCCCAGGCCUGCUCUGAGAGGUGAGGAGGAAGUGAACUUCUGGGCUUUGGCGCCCUGCUUCCUGCUCAACCGAGGGAGCUCUUCUUUCAUAUGUUUUAUAUUUUUGGUUUCCAUGUAAGCUUACAUGGGAAAAGAAAGGCUCUACAGCUGAAUAAUGCUUAUAAUCCACAAAUUUAAUAUAAUCCUCUAAUUUUGUAAGUGAGAAAAUGAAAGCCCAGAGAAAGGAAGCAAUUUGCAAGAUGGUGGCAGAGCUAGGAUUCACACCGACUGCUCCUGAAUCCUCAUGUCCUGACCAUAAUCUUUCCUCUCUAUGAAGAAUUCCUUCAUAUUAUCUCACCCACCAUGAAAGUAAAGGAGAAGAACAUUGCAGAGAUCUGGCUCUUGUUAACAUCCCACUGCCAGUGAAGUUAGUCUCCAGACCUUUCUCCACCCUCAGACCUCAAUUCUCUCUGUCUUUUUCUCUCCCCACUUCACUGAUGCAAUCACUAGCUGCUCUUUUGCCCUCUCCCGACUCUCAGGAAAAGUUGUGUUGUCAUCACUUGGUGAAAUAGCAGUUCUUCAUCUUUAUUCUAGCGGUUCAGGGAGAGGGAAGGCAGAUUAAUUACAUUUGCAGCCUGAGCUCUCCCUAUGGAAAGAAAGUUGUUACUUUCAGAAAAAAAGGGUUUUAGACUUCUGUGAAAGUAUUAUUUUAUUCAGGGCAGGGGUGUGACAGCAGGAAAGUUUGUUUCCCACAGCCCUGAAACCACAAUACAUGCAUGGCAACCUGUUACAUCUAAGAAAAAGUUAACAAUUACAAAAUAAUUAUAACAAAAGAGAACUUGGCUGGGUGAGCUGAUGCAUGGAAACCCUGCCCUGCAUAUACUCAGGUAUAGACACAUUUCUUCAAACACAAAGAUUCAAGCUCAAAACCAAGAAAGGGAAAUACCUGAAGGCCAAAAAGAGAGAACUCAAAAUCAGAGCAGUAAGUGGGAGUUGAAGCCCUGCAGCUAAGGAGCUUGUUGGGCCUUACGUAGACUUAAUGGCAGAGUCUUGGGGCUUUAAGGGCUGUGGGUGGGGAUCCAGGCUGCUGGUCCUGUGUACAAUGUUCAAGGGGGUGAUGGAACUGUCUUGGGAGUCAAGAAGGCUUAUGACCACAUAGGUGUGACGUUUUUGUUCACAUUGUUCCCAAACCAAGAAAUUACCAUAAACACUGGUUCAGCAUAAGGCCUCAUAUACUCAGCAUAUUCAGUAUAAGUUUAUUCAGUAUAUUGAAUCUAAGUCCUCAUAUACUGAUAGAGUAGGCCUCAGCAGAGGCAAAGCUAAAACUAUCUUGGAGGGACAGUUCCAUAAACCGGAGCAAACCAGCCUCCCACAGCAAACAACCCCAGUGGAAAUGCAGCUCAAGACUCAUAAGUUACAAACCACACAAGGAAGCAAGUCACAAAGGGGAAGUAUCAGCAGAAACAAAACACGGAAAAAUUUCCACACCAUGACCUGGAUUCAACAAGAUAUUCUUUUUUUUUUUCAAGUAAAACAUCAUGGUCAUAAUUUUGAAGAAGUUUGUUAUCACUGGAUUGCAGAAUCACAGACUGUGUGUCAUUCAGAUGCUGGAGAGAAUCUCAACAAGCUUUUUUAUUUUACAGAUGGGGAAACAGAGACUCAGAGAGGGGAAGUGACUUGUCUAAAGUCACCCUUAGGUUAGUGGGAGAAUGAGGAAUAGAAUCAAAGUUACCAGGUUUCUAGCCCUGUGCUACUUUUUCUGUCCCAUGAGGCCCUAAUUUCUCAAGGUAAAAAUUAAAAAUCUAACUUGAAGAGAGGACCAGUAGAAAAGAGAGAAAGACCUAUCAAGGAUCUAGGAAAAGCUGGAGUGAGGACCCUAGUUCUAAUUAGCAAAGCUCCUAUUUGGCUCUCUAAUAACUAGAAAUUUUAAAUAAAUGCCUCCUGUCUUGUAUUUGCAUUAUGCUGACCUGGUUCUCUUUCCUAGUUUUCCCCUACUUAGUCCUUCUCCUGCUGUUGGCAUAAUGAAAGUGUUAUUACAAUUGGGGCAAGUCAGGUUCUGUGAGAGUUUCUUCUUCCUUCCCAACCUUUGCCCCACCCAGCUUCUAUAUCUAUGUAGGAGGGUUAGGAACAGGGAGAGGGGUAAGACCAGGUACCUUUAGGACAGACUCAUUAGCUGCAGAUAUCAGGCAAAGAUGGGAAGCAAGGUGGGUACGGAACUGGCUAUGGGUUCAGCCUUGCAGGGCCAGAGCCUUGAAGACCAGAUCAGAUGUAAAUAAGGCCAAAGCUUUUGGCAUAGAGGAGCA
rnacentral:lncRNA from 1 species